rnacentral:rRNA from 1 species
GUAAAGGCAAAAGAGAGCUUGAUUGCAAGACAUACAGGUCGAGCAAGGAUGAAAAUCGGACUUAGUGAUCCGGUGGUUCUGCGUGGAAGGGCCAUCGCUCAACGGAUAAAAGCUACCCUGGGGAUAACAGGCUUAUCUCCCCCAAGAGUCCACAUCGACGGGGAGGUUUGGCACCUCGAUGUCGGCUCAUCACAUCCUGGGGCUGUAGUAGGUCCCAAGGGUUGGGCUGUUCGCCCAUUAAAGUGGUACGCGAGCUGGGUUCAGAACGUCGUGAGACAGUUCGGUCCCUAUCCGUCGCAGGCGUAGGAAAUUUGAGAAGACCUGUCCUUAGUACGAGAGGACCGGGAUGGACGUACCUCUGGUGUACCAGUUGUCCUGCCAAGGGCAUGGCUGGGUAGCUAUGUACGGAAUGGAUAAGCGCUGAAAGCAUCUAAGCGCGAAGCCAACUUCAAGAUAAGAUUUCCCACCGCAAGGGUAAGACCCCAGAAAGACUAUCUGGUUGAUAGGUCGAAGGUGUAAGUG